rnacentral:rRNA from 1 species
GACGAACGCUGGCGGCGUGCUUAACACAUGCAAGUCGAACGAUGAAACCUAGCUUGCUAGGUCGAUUAGUGGCGAACGGGUGAGUAACACGUGACUAACCUGCACCUUUCUCUGGGAUAACGCUCCGAAAGGAGUGCUAAUACCGGAUACUCACAUCGAGGCACAUGCCUUGGUGUGGAAAGUUUUUCGGAAAGGGAUGGAGUCGCGGCCUAUCAGCUUGUUGGUGAGGUAACGGCUCACCAAGGCGACGACGGGUAGCCGGACUGAGAGGGGGAACGGGCACACUGGGACUGAGACACGGCCCAGACUCCUACGGGAGGCAGCAGUGGGGAAUAUUGCACAAUGGGCGCAAGCCUGAUGCAGCGACGCCGCGUGAGGGAUGAAGGUCUUCGGAUUGUAAACCUCUUUCAGUAGGGACGAAGCGAAAGUGACGGUACCUAAAGAAGAAGCACCGGCUAACUACGUGCCAGCCGCCGCCGUAA